UCCUUGCCUCUUUCUCUUCCUCAUCAGAAUAUAAAAAGAAAGCUAUCUCUUUCAUUUCAAUCUCCAUCUCCCCCCACCCCCAUUUGAAUUCAGAAAACUCCAAAAGAGUUGAGGAGUUUCAUUUAAGCUCCCCUGUUUCUCCCUUGUUAUCUCUGUACCUUUUCCAAUAAUAAAAAAUGUCGUCAAGUGUGAGUCAAGGGUUGCAAUCAUGCCUGGAGGUAAGGGUGGUAGAACCACGUUUUUUGAGUCUGAAACUGGCUCCACAUAAAUCAAAUUCCCCUGCCUCCAUUGCUCCCACUAACGAGGAAAAAGACGCCAAGCUCAUAGGCAAUCAAAAUAUGGAGAUGGGGGGCUGGAGUUUCCUCCACUCCCUCUCCAACGCCAAUGAAUAUUCUACCCAAAAUGACAAUGUAUACGUGCAUCCUCUUGUAAAGCGUUCAGCUUCUAUCCUAAGUGAAAAAAGCCUUGAAAUGUGCACCGAGAGAUUAGGUAGUGAAACUGGAAGUGAUGUUAGCGACAUUUCCUUGCUUUCAUUACAAACCGGGGUUUACAAUCCAUCGAAUUCCAAACCAAGGGAAAGUUCAUUGAAACGAAAAACGAGUCGUAUCAACACCUUCCCACCUCCAUUAACAUCCAUUACCGGUUCCAAUGGCGUCCAAGUCAAGUCUCACCGAGAAGGUGGCCGUUUGGUUCUUCAAGCCGUUACUAUCCCUCCUUGCCAUACCUACUUCCAUGCAGAACGAAGUGAAGGCAGGCUUAGGCUUUCACUUUUCAAGGAUGUCACCGAUGGUUUCCACAGCGAAGACGGCGAAGAGGAAGUCCGAGAGGACGUUGUAGAAAAAGAAGAUGAUGAUGAUGAUGAUGAAGAUGAUGAAGAUGGUGAAAAUGAUCAAGCGUUAGAAGGUGAAUUCAAAGAAGAAAGCAUUAUGAGGGAGGUGAAGUUAUGGAAGGAAAUAGUGGGAGUACUGGGGCUGAAAUUGAGACAAGGAAAUUGGCUUGGCCAAGCCGAUGCAAAGAAAGUGGGCGUAGGCACAAAGGGUUGCUUAAUUGGCAGCCAUUGUUGGUGGGGUGACUACUUGAAAGCUAAAAGUUGGAAGGUUUCUCUCAGCCCCAGAGACAAUAAUUACUAUGAUUGGAUCCCCUAAUUUCCCUCCUUUUUCUAUUACCUUUAUCAUAAUAAUUAUUAUUACUAAUUUCUAAUUUUCAGGAGUUAUGUAUAUCAAAAAGUAAGAGAUUACCGUACCAUGGAUUUCCUAAAAUAUGCUUAUGGUAGUUAUUAUCGUUAUUGGACCAGACCAUGUCACGUGCUACACUCCCUUUUCUCCUAUGCUGCAGCCCCUAUUUUUGGUUUAUUUUCCUACCUCAGUUACUUAUCAAUAUUUAUAAAAUAAAUGACUGCUGAUCCAUUAAUGACGGGGGACUUCCUCUAUAAUUUUUGCUCAUCGCUUUCCUAGGGAAAUUUUUGUUGGACACCAUUGAAUAAAAUGAUAAGAUUUUAAUUCCUCCAAUAACUUAUAUUUGGAAUCUUAACUUCAGUCCAAA